AGGCUCCUGUUUACAUGUGUGAACCUCAAACCCAGCUUCCCUUUGUCAUGGAAGUUGUCUGUCUGUGAUUGACCCAAGUUACUGACCCAAGACGGUGGUGUGAAGUUCUGGGUAUAUACUGUUGCCUGCUAACCCCCACGGACCAUUCUGAAAAGUCUUGAACCCUCUUCUGGAAAGGGGCACCUAUUAUUGCUUUAUGGGGCAGCAGCCUGGAAAAGUUCUUGGGGACCAAAGAAGGCCUAGUUUGCCCGCCCUGCAUUUUAUCAAAGGGGCAGGGAAGAGGGACUCAUCGAGGCAUGGGGGCCCACACUGCAAUGUCUUUGUGGAACACGAAGCCCUGCAGAGGCCAGUGGCAUCUGACUUUGAGCCCCAGGGUCUCAGCGAAGCAGCUCGAUGGAACUCCAAGGAAAACCUUCUUGCUGGGCCCAGUGAAAAUGACCCCAACCUUUUUGUGGCACUCUAUGAUUUUGUGGCCAGUGGAGAUAACACUCUCAGCAUCACUAAAGGUGAAAAGCUCCGGGUCUUGGGUUAUAAUCACAAUGGGGAAUGGUGUGAAGCCCAAACGAAAAAUGGCCAAGGAUGGGUCCCAAGCAACUACAUCACCCCCGUC
rnacentral:lncRNA from 1 species